CUGAUUCUCACGGGGGAGUGUGUGCGCGUCGCGUGCUGUGUUUGCGGUACGUGCGCGCGCCGCCCCCAAACAAUCUUUUGUGCACGGUUUCACGGUCAACAAGAUGUCGCGUGUGUGUGUGUGUGUUGGCAAGCCGCGCCCCAGUGACUUGCCAACCGCGCGCGCGCAUGCGUGCGUCUUUUUGCAAUAUCUCACACCUGUACAAUCUCUGUCUAACGUGCGUCAUUACCUUUAAAUUUAUA
rnacentral:misc_RNA from 1 species